CCUACGGGAGGCAGCAGUGAGGAAUAUUGGUCAAUGGGCGAGAGCCUGAACCAGCCAAGUAGCGUGAAGGAUGACGGCCCUACGGGUUGUAAACUUCUUUUGUGCGGGAAUAAAGGAACCUACGUGUAGGUUUUUGCAUGUACCGUAACGAAUAAGCAUCGGCUAACUCCGUGCCAGCAGCCGCGGUAAUACGGAGGAUGCGAGCGUUAUCCGGAUUUAUUGGGUUUAAAGGGAGCGUAGACGGGUUUUUAAGUCAGCUGUGAAAGUUUGGGGCUCAACCUUAAAAUUGCAGUUGAAACUGGAGACCUUGAGUACGGUUGAGGCAGGCGGAAUUCGUGGUGUAGCGGUGAAAUGCUUAGAUAUCACGAAGAACCCCGAUUGCGAAGGCAGCCUGCUAAGCCGCCACUGACGUUGAGGCUCGAAAGUGCGGGUAUCAAAC
rnacentral:rRNA from 1 species